UACAGAGGUCUCAAGCGUUGUUCGGAUUCAUUGGGCGUAAAGGGUGCGUAGGCGGCCAACUAAGUCGGAUGUGAAAUCCCCAGGCUUAACCUGGGAAUUGCAUCCGAUACUGGAUGGCUUGAAUCCGGGAGAGGGAUGCGGAAUUCCAGGUGUAGCGGUGAAAUGCAUAGAUAUCAGGAGGAACACCAGCGGCGAAGGCGGCACUCUGGGCUGGAACUGACGCUGAGGAGCGAAAGCGUGGGGAGCGAAACAGG
rnacentral:rRNA from 1 species